CAGAGGGUAACUAGCUCAGAAUUUUUAGUUGGUGGCAUGUAUUUAUGAGAUGGAAAAGUCUAUGUCUGAGAGGGGACAGAGGCUUAUCUUCUAGCGUGGAAAGGAGAAGGGGAUGGAAGAAUCACUGAAGAGGAGAAUACAGGACCAAUCUCACUCCCGUGACCCCACCCAGAAGUGAUUCAAUGCAAGAGGACAGCUUGGAUCUCCUAUGACUUCAUCUCUGCCCCAACCCAUCAGCAGCAAGCACUCAUUGCCUAGCAACCACCGGCCCUUACCCCACACUGUCUUUGAAAAGCUCCUGCUUAUGAGCCUUGGAUGAGACUGAUUUGAGUGUUAACUCCACCUCCCACGUGGCG
rnacentral:lncRNA from 10 species